AGUACGGCGGAACACGAGAAAUUCCGUCGGAAUCCGCGGGGACCAUCCCGCAAGGCUAAAUACUCCCUAGUGACCGAUAGUGAACCAGUACCGUGAGGGAAAGGUGAAAAGCACCCCGGAAGGGGAGUGAAAUAGAUCCUGAAACCGUGUGCCUACAACAAGUCAAAGCUCGUUAAUGAGUGAUGGCGUGCCUUUUGUAGAAUGAACCGGCGAGUUACGAUUGCAUGCGAGGUUAAGUCGAAGAGACGGAGCCGCAGCGAAAGCGAGUCUGAAUAGGGCGAAUGAGUAUGUAGUCGUAGACCCGAAACCAUGUGAUCUACCCAUGUCCAGGUUGAAGGUGCGGUAAAACGCACUGGAGGACCGAACCCACGUACGUUGAAAAGUGCGGGGAUGAGGUGUGGGUAGCGGAGAAAUUCCAAACGAACUUGGAGAUAGCUGGUUCUCUCCGAAAUAGCUUUAGGGCUAGCCUCGGAAUUGAGAAUGAUGGAGGUAGAGCACUGUUUGGACUAGGGGCCCAUCUCGGGUUACCGAAUUCAGAUAAACUCCGAAUGCCAUUCAUUUAUAUCCGGGAGUCAGACUGCGAGUGAUAAGAUCCGUAGUCGAAAGGGAAACAGCCCAGACCACCAGCUAAGGUCCCAAAAUAUAUGUUAAGUGGAAAAGGAUGUGGGGUUGCACAGACAACUAGGAUGUUGGCUUAGAAGCAGCCACCAUUUAAAGAGUGCGUAAUAGCUCACUAGUCGAGUGACCCUGCGCCGAAAAUGUACCGGGGCUAAACAUAUUACCGAAGCUGUGGACUACACCAUUAGGUGUAGUGGUAGGAGAGCGUUCUAAGGGCGUUGAAGGUCGAUCGUGAGGACGGCUGGAGCGCUUAGAAGUGAGAAUGCCGGUAUGAGUAGCGAAAGACAGGUGAGAAUCCUGUCCACCGUAUGACUAAGG
rnacentral:rRNA from 1 species